AUUAAAGAAUAAUGUGCGUAUUGAUGAUACGAACCUAAAUAAAUACACUGCAAAAGCAUUAAAUUCAUUGCGCCUUUACGAUAUUCAUUACUUUUAAAUAAAUUCUAUUCACGAUGUAUUGAAUUGUAUGUACACAAACCCUUCAAUGGGCACCAAUACAUUGAAUAAUUGUGAUGGGAAAUCGAUUGGAUCAGAGAAAUGGUGUGAAAUAAUCUUUUAUGAACUAGUUGAAAGGAGUAUUUCUUUGAAGAAAUCGAACUUAGUCACGGUAGUGGAAUAUAUCAUAAUAAAUGUUCGGCCGAUGGCCUGGUAUCUGUACAUGAUAUUAAAACAUUCGAUUUAAGAACUCACAAAGAGAAGUAAUAAUUUCGUGUAAAAAUAUUGAGCAGAAGUUAGAAGUUUAUUUUGUAAAAAGAAACUUUUGUGUGCACACAAGUAUAAAUGAUCGAUGAAACACAAGCAUGAAUGAUGGUAAUUCAUAUUUCGUGUACGGACGUUAUCGUACACAGGACAAAAAUUAUUACUUCACAAAAGAAGAUGAGAAACUGAAGAAAGGUUACGAUAUACUGAAAAUAAAUCAUGAUGAGCGAAGAGAUACGGAUUAUACUGAAGUUGAUCGUGAUGGUAGCUUUGGUAGAGAAAGGUCACGGAGAUCUCCGAUCUCAAGACGAACGCAAAUAGAACCUGUUCGGACACCUCCGGGAUAUAUCGAUGGACACCGAAGACCUUCUGUAACCGAAUCGUAUCCUCAAUUGGCUCAGCCCGGGCCUCAGGUGACACGUUCGCAUGUUUUAGUGGAGCACUGGUCCGCAUGAGUAGGCCAGAGUGUUUGUGACGACCUUCGCCUUGCCAUUCAAGAUAACUUCAGUGACGUCGCGUUCGAAGAAAAAUCAGGCACAAUUAACUCAUUUGAAGUGUACGUGAACGGGAAGUUACUGUAUUCCCGACUUCGCGAUGGUGGUUACCCCUAUGAACAUGAUGUACUUCUAGCUGUGACACGUGCACGGCACGGGGAACAUUUCCAUGAGCUCAGGGACGGAAAAUCCUGUGUCUGCACUGUAUUAUAACUGAACACAUGCAGAAAACACUCCGGGUUAACCACUUUUUAAACUUUAUAGUGCAUGUACCAAAACGAACAAGUCUUAAUGGGUUGUUAGACUUGGAGUUACUGUGGGAAGGGUGCUGUUAGUCGUCACAAACACAAUUCUGUUUCAAUGUGCCACACGUGUUCAUUUCGUCAUUAGUGUAUGCAGGGUAUGGCAAAAACCAGUAUACUAGAUUGGAAAUUCUUCCUGUGAUUUUACAUAGUUUAAAGUACAGUUUAAUACAUAGAUGUAAACGGAAAACAGUAUGCUUUUAUUAAUGUUUAUUUUGCCACCAGAUUAUAAUAAGAAAAUUCCGAAUCGUAUGUCAUUUUUAUGUAAUAUUACCUGAUAAUGUUUACAUACUGGGAUCUUUCCUGUAUUUUUCAUUGUAUUGCUUUAUCAAUAUAUUGAUAUACUA